CCCGCAACGAGCGCAACCCUUAUCCUUUGUUGCCAGCGGUCCGGCCGGGAACUCAAAGGAGACUGCCGGUGAUAAACCGGAGGAAGGUGGGGAUGACGUCAAGUCAUCAUGGCCCUUACGGCCAGGGCUACACACGUGCUACAAUGGCGCAUACAAAGAGAAGCGACCUCGCGAGAGCAAGCGGACCUCAUAAAGUGCGUCGUAGUCCGGAUUGGAGUCUGCAACUCGACUCCAUGAAGUCGGAAUCGCUAGUAAUCGUGGAUCAGAAUGCCACGGUGAAUACGUU
rnacentral:rRNA from 1 species